UACGAGGGUGCGAGCGUUGUCCGGAAUUAUUGGGCGUAAAGAGCUUGUAGGCGGUUUGUCGCGUCAUCGCCGUGAAAACUCCGAGGCUCAACCUGACGGACUUAGCGGGUGGGUGACGGGGCAGACGUAGAUGUGUGGUAGGGGGAGAACUGGAAUUCCUGGUGUAGCGGUGGAAAAUGCGCAGGAUAAUCAGGAGGAACACCGAG
rnacentral:rRNA from 1 species